GUCAUGCCUAGGCCGGCCAGCCGAAAGCGCGGAUACCCUUGCCGCGUUGGCAUGACUUCCAAUUUAAGGG
rnacentral:sRNA from 1 species